rnacentral:rRNA from 1 species
UACGUAGGGGGGCAAGCGUUGUCCGGAUUUAUUGGGCGUAAAGAGCGUGUAGGCGGCCAUACAGGUCAGCUGUGAAAAACUCGAGGCUCAACCUCGAGACGUCGGUUGAAAACCGUAUGGCUAGAGUCCGGAAGAGGAGAGUGGAAUUCCCCGGUGUAGCGGUGAAAUGCGCAGAUAUCAGGAGGAACACCGGUGGCGAAGGCGGUGGGCUGGGCCGGAACUGACGCUGAGGAGCGAAAGCGUGGGGAGCGAACAGG